CAAAAUAUUAUCUCUCUAUGAAAUACAACAAAGUCAUUUCUUCUAAUACAAGAUUGUUCUCGAUAUUCAUCUUCCUUACAUUCAUAGUUUAUGCAAUUCAUAUAAGAUAGUUAAAUGGUAUCGAGAGCAAACUAUGCUUGCUCGUUGAUUCUUGGAUGGGUUUUCCGCUACUCCAUUCAGUGAAGUUUUCUUGAUCUAUCAUCUUCGAUUUUCAGAUUCUUGUUUCUACAAUUUUAGGGUUUGUUCUUCAGAUCUUGAAUUCUUGUUAGCGUCUAUACAUAUUUUUUUUUGUGGUUUGCAUUCAUCUAUGAUAAAGGCCAAUGCCAAGAUGAUGUGUGAUAUUGAUUGAUUUCUGAAUAUGAAUUGGGGAUUUCUUGUUUCUACACUUUUAGGGUUUGUUCUUCGGAUCUUGAAUUCUUGUCAGCGUCUAUACAUUUUUUUUUUUUUGGUUUGCAUUCAUCUAUGAUAAAGGCCAAUGCCAAGAUAAUGUGUGAUAUUGAUUGAUUUCUGAAUAUGAAUUGGGGAUUUCUUGAAGGCUGAUACCGAGAAUCUCAUAUAAAUUGAUGACUCAAGGUCGAUAACCAAUGAUUCAUCAACAUUGUUAGUGUUUGUGAUUUGGAAUGUUUUCUGACAAGAUUUGUAUCUGGGUACUUUUCUGGGUUAUAAUUCUCCUUUCUGUGAAUUGUUUGUUUUGCAUCAUGUCUAGCUCUAUAAAACUUGAGAAUUCGUUAGAUAUGUUGACUAUCAAGUUGAAUGAUGACAAUUUUAUCAAUUGGAAUUUCCAAUUUUGUUCUAUUCUUCAUGGUUAUGAUAUGUUUGAUCACUUUAUUGGUGAACCUGUGUGUCCACCAAAGUAUGUUCUUUCUCCUACAUUGGGGGUUACUACUGAAGUUACCUCUGCAUAUAAAACAUGGGUUAAGACCGAUAUGGCUCUCUUGAGUCUUCUUAUUGCAACUCUAAGCAAUGAUGCUAUGGAGUAUGUUGUGGGUUGUAUGACUUCUCAUGAAUCUUGGAAUGCCUUGCAAGAUCGUUAUAUUUCUGUCUCUAAUACAAAUGUCAAUUAGCUGAAGGCUGAAUUGCAUAUUAUAUAGAAAGGGAGUGAUAAUGUUGAUUAGUAUUUGUUGCGAUUAAAGACCAUUAAAGAUAAAUUGCUUGCUGCUGGUGAAAAGAUUACAGAUAAUGACUUGGUUUUUGCAGCCUUAACUGGUCUUCUAGCUGAGUUUUAUAUGAUUCGUACUGUGAUAUUGGCUAGAGAUACACCUAUUUCUCUUAAAGAAUUCAGGGCACAACUUUUGGGGGCAGAAAAGAGUUUGGAAGAUCGAAUGCAAUCUUUAGUUGAUAGCAUGUCUGCUAUGUAUGUCAAUGGACCACUUCCAACAUUUUCUAUUGGUGCUUCUAAUUUUCAACAUGUUUCUAAUGCAUCAGGACAAGGCAACAAGGAAGAUAUUUUACCACAGAAAGAGUAACAACAAUAAGUUGUUUAGGAUUCUUGUGCAUGUGUUUCCAACGGUGCGAAAUCAAAGAUUGUGUUCUUUUUCUGGAUUUUUAGGCAAGGCUGUGAAGUCUUCACUAUGGCAUCACAAGUUGGGGCAUCCAUCAAAUGAGGUUUUAGAUAAAAUGCUUAGGAAUUCUGAUAUUUCUGUUAGUUCUAAUGAUCGUGCACAAGUUUGUUCUCAUUGUUUUAGUGGGAAAAUGAGCAAAUUACCUUUUACAAAUAAGCUAGACAAGGUAAAAAUUCCAUUUCAUAAAGUCCAUAGUGAUGUCUGCGGUCCUUUACCAGUUGUGUUUAUUGAAGAUUUCAGAUAUUAUGUAUCAUUUGUAGAUGAAGCUACCAGAUUUGUAUGGCUCUUUCCAUUAAUGAAUAAAUCAGAGGUUUUUGGUGCA